CUGUGUGAAGAAGCGUCGUCCUUAUCACUGGUGAGCCCACCACACACCAGCCCAGUGAAGUCAGCAGUAGAGAUAAGAGUGGAAAUGGGACACAGGUGACUUAGAGUGGUGAGCAACUAAUGAGAAAGAAAUCUGAGAAAGCAGUCAGGGGAUGAGCAUCAGGGCAGGAAGGGAAAGGAAUGUAAACAAAUGUCAGUGGGCUCGGAAGAGUGGAGGAAGGAGGGGGAAGAGAAGAAAGUGUAGCUGCAGCUCUGGGAGGAAUGGGAAAUGCACAGGAGGCUCGUACACUUACAAUCCCACAGGGGGGCAAACACACACAGAAGCUGGACUCCACCCGGAAGGUGGCAAAAGAAGAGCGAAGUUACCCAGUAAGGAAUACACGCUGAGAAAGAAACCUGAUGAAAACUCAACUGCUAACAAAAUGCUAACAAAACGAGGAUGAAACUAGACCCCGCAGCCAACAUUCCAGGGAGUAAGCAGGGUCGGCAGGACACCAAGCAGGAAGGAGGAGACAUGUGGCUCAAUCUCCGCAGCCAUCCCUUAAGCGAUGCCCACCCCUCUGAUCCUUCACCCACAGCUGGAACCCCUAACUGCUCCUGCUACAGUUGAGGCUAACCGGUCUGCAAGUUCCAAAGGAGAGGCUGUAAGUUCAAGAGCUGGGAUUUACAGAAGACCUGCUCACAUCACUGGCCGCAUAGUCCCUCAAUCUUUAAACGUCACAGAAGACCUUCCCAGCGUGCAGAGAAGCCCAUGCAAUGAGCUAUCUCACCUUUCCCCAUCCCUUCAAGUGUGAAAUGAAGAACACCCCCCACCACCCCUGCUGAGAGAGCCAAGCUAGGGGAGGUUACUCAACAAAAUGAGCAAAGCAUCCCCUUCCACAAUCUCCCAGCUCUAAGAACCACCAGCAAUUAUAAACAGGCGCAUGCUUCUGGUUCUGCCAGGAAGUCGCCUUAAGACCUCAUACCAACCAUCCAAAUCUUCGCAGCCUUUGCUUUGUUUUCUAUAAAAUGAUCUUUUGGCAGGGGAUGGCUAUAACUACUGAACCUAAACAUAAGUCACGCCUGGGAACCCAAGUGUGAAUCAGACCCAGGCAUUCUUGACUAAGCCAGUCCCUCAGCGGCACAGUAUCUAGAGACCCUAGACCUUUGUCAGUGUUCUCUAACCAGGAAACAGUGAGCUCCCUGUGGCCGAUGGAAUUACCCAGAUAGAGAAAGUGACUCCCUCAAGGCCUCAAAUAGUCAAACGGAACAAAAGCAAGAGUUCCAACAGGACGAAGACAGCCAUAUAACCCACUGACUCACCGGGUUGUUCACACACACGUGCACAUGAGCACACGCAUGCACACGCGCACACACACACACAAAGGCGAGUUACUCUUUUUCUUCUGAAGUUGGAGAAAGUCACCAAUAAUUAAGUGCUAGAUGGAAUCGUGCCCCACAAAACUCACAUGUUGAAGCCCUAACCCAACUGACUUGAUUUGGAAAUGGAGCUUUUAGGGGGAAAUUAGGAUUAAAUGAGUUCAUAAGGAUAUAGUCCUUCUCUGAAAGGAUGGA